rnacentral:rRNA from 1 species
GAUGAACGCUGGCGGCGUGCCUAACACAUGCAAGUCGAGCGGAAGGACGAUAAGCUUGUUGUGUUCAUGUUAGCGGCGGGCGGGUGUGUAACGCGUGGAUCAUCUACUUAUAUUUCGGGGAUCAUCACGGAAAUGCGGAUAUAAUACCAGAGAAUAUUUUGAACCGUAGGGUUCAAUAGUGAAUUACGGCUUUGGUGGCUCUAAUCGCUGGUUCCGCGCUGGAUUGGUUGGUUGGUAAGUUAACGGCCUAUCAAGGCUACGAUGCAUGGCCGACUUGCGAGGCUGGUCGGCCACCCUGGAACUGAGACACGGUCCAGACUCCUACGGGAGGCAGCAGUCGGGAAUGUUCCGCAAUGGGCGGAAGCCUGACACAGCAAGACCGCGCGAGUGAUGAAGGUCUUCGGUUCGUAAAGCCCUGUUAUUGGGGAAGAACAGAUGUCGAAUGAGCCGAAGACAUAUUGACGGUACCUAAUCAAGAAGCACCGGCUAACUACGUG